UACAGAGAGUGCAAACGUUGUUCGGAAUUACUGGGCUUGAAGCGCACGUAGGCGGCGUUGUAAGUGUCGGGUGAAAUCCCACGGCUCACCCGUGGAACUGCCCGGCAUACUGCGAUGCUAGAGUGUGGUAGGGGAGAGCGGAACUCCUGGUGGAGCGGUGAAAUGCGUAGAUAUCAGGAGGAACACCGGUGGCGAAGGCGGCUCUCUGGUCCACAACUGACGCUGAGGUGCGAAAGCUAGGGGAGCAAACGGG
rnacentral:rRNA from 2 species